rnacentral:tRNA from 1 species
GCUGUAGCUUAGUGGCAAGAGCUUUUGCCUAACACAUGUAGCACGUAUGAGGCCCUGGGUUCGAUCCUUAGCACUGCA